rnacentral:rRNA from 1 species
UACGGAGGGGACUAGCGUUGUUCGGAAUUACUGGGCGUAAAGCGCACGUAGGCGGAUUUGUAAGUCAGGGGUGAAAUCCCGAGGCUCAACCUCGGAACUGCCUUUGAUACUGCAAAUCUCGAGUCCGGAAGAGGUGAGUGGAGUUCCUAGUGUAGAGGUGAAAUUCGUAGAUAUUAGGAAGAACACCAGUGGCGAAGGCGGCUCACUGGUCCGGUACUGACGCUGAGGUGCGAAAGCGUGGGGAGCAAACAGGG